AGGAUUCCCCUAGUAACGGCGAGUGAAGCGGGAAGAGCUCAAAUUUGUAAUCUGGCGGUCUWUGGCCGUCCGAGUUGUAGUCUGGAGAAGCGUUAUCUGCGUCGGACCGUGUACAAGUCCCUUGGAACAGGGCGUCACAGAGGGUGAGAAUCCCGUCUUUGACACGGACUGCCGGYGCUUUGUGAUGCGCUCUCGAAGAGUCGAGUUGUUUGGGAAUGCAGCUCAAAUCGGGUGGUAAAUUCCAUCUAAAGCUAAAUAUGGGCGAAAGACCGAUAGCGAACAAGUACCGUGAGGGAAAGAUGAAAAGCACUUUGGAAAGAGAGUUAAACAGUACGUGAAAUUGUUGAAAGGGAAACGCUUGAAGUCAGUCGCGUCUCUCCGAGACUCAGCCUUGC
rnacentral:rRNA from 1 species